CCUACGGGUGGCAGCAGUGAGGAAUAUUGGUCAAUGGCCGCAAGGCUGAACCAGCCAAGUAGCGUGAGGGAUGACUGCCCUACGGGUUGUAAACUUCUUUUAUAAGGGAAUAAUAUAUGGCACGUGUGCCUUUUUGUAUGUACUUUAUGAAUAAGGAUCGGCUAACUCCGUGCCAGCAGCCGCGGUAAUACGGAGGAUCCGAGCGUUAUCCGGUUUUAUUGGGUUUAAAGGGAGCGUAGGCGGUUUGUUAAGUAAGUGGUUAAAUUUUGGGGCUUAACCUUAAUUUGCCAUUUAUACUGGAAGACUCGAGUUCAGUCGAGGUAGGCGGAAUAAGUGGAGUAGCGGUGAAAUGCUUAGAUAUAACGAAGAACUCCGAUAGCGAAGGCAGCUUACCAGACUGCCACUGACAUUGAUGCACGAGAGUGUGGGUAUCAAACAGGAUUAGAUACCCCAGUAGUC
rnacentral:rRNA from 1 species